AGAACGAACGCUGGCGGCAGGCCUAAUACAUGCAAGUCGAACGCACUCUUCGGAGUGAGUGGCAGACGGGUGAGUAACGCGUGGGAACCUUCCCAAUGGUACGGAAUAACUCCGGGAAACCGGUGCUAAUACCGUAUAAGCCCCUCGGGGGAAAGAUUUAUCGCCAUUGGAUGGGCCCGCGUCGGAUUAGCUAGUUGGUAAGGUAAUGGCUUACCAAGGCUACGAUCCGUAGCUGGCCUGAGAGGAUGAUCAGCCACACUGGGACUGAGACACGGCCCAGACUCCUACGGGAGGCAGCAGUAGGGAAUCUUGGACAAUGGCGAAAGCCUGAUCCAGCCAUGCCGCGUGAGUGAAGAAGGCCUUAGGGUUGUAAAGCUCUUUUGGCGGGGACGAUAAUGACGGUACCCGCAGAAUAAGCCCGGCUAACUUCGUGCCAGCAGCCGC
rnacentral:rRNA from 1 species